AUUCAUCGGUUUUGUCAGCGGAGCUCCUGAUAAGGCAAAACUUUCCGGUGUCGCAGGGUGCUCAACACUGGGCUAAGUGGAAUAAAUCCCAGUCCAUUUGGAAUUUGGAUCACAGAUCUGUCCGUCCCUAAUCAAAACCGUAUACGUCUGCCAUUGCGAUCUGUUAGCUUCAUUAUGCGCGAUGUGGACGGGAAUCAUUUUUCUCCUUUUCUAGUAGCGGAAUACCAAAGCACAGGAGCUGGAGGCCCGGAGCUCAAAGCAAGCCCUUGAAAAACCUAAGCUCUUGUCGUUGAUCAGACAAGUUUAAGAAAAGACAUUAUCAGAUAUAUCAAAUGACGGCAGUUGUGUCACGGUUGAUCCAUUCAAGAUCAUCCCUCUCCAGGCUAUGGUAUUAUGAUUGAAUGUGGCGAAUAUCGUAGAAAUUAGAUUUUGGGUGCGCAUUAGCGAUGGCAAAAUUGAGGGAAAUUGAAGUGAAACUGGAUUUUCUACGGUUUUGAUCUUUUGCAUUUUGGUUAUGAGAGAUUGAAGUUUGUAGUGUCACCAAGUGCGGGGAUGUGAAGUUCUCUGAGACUUUUCUUUAUUUUUCCAAAACGGUACAAUAGCUGCAUCCAGGAAUGCGAGGUUUCUCUCAACUGAUUCUGGUAAGGUUGAUGAACGCUUCAAAGUCGAGGAAGCAGAGACAGUAGAUGUCCCUCCACCACCAACGGAAAAGGUAUGGUGCACUGAGAAUUGUAUACUAUCACUUUUGGUCCUUUCGAUAUCUUUCGCUGCUUUUGAACAUUUGACCUAUAUACCAUUCAAUUUAGUUGCUUGUGUUGGGUAGAAAUGGUUUUGUUGGCUCUCAUAUUUGUAGAGAAGCUUUGGAUCGUGGUUUAUCUGUUGCUAGCCUUAGCAGGUAUUAUGCUUUCCAACAGUUACAAUUCAUCUGUUGCCUUUUAUUGUCAUUGACGUUUUUUCAGAAUUCAUGCCUGUUGAUGCUAAAGUGUUAUUGGAUGAUGCUCACCAGUGAAAAUGCCUUGUUUUUAUUGCAAUGGGGUCCUUAAUAAUACCUCUGAAGCCUCUUCUGAGGAACUUUGUUGCUUCUGGCUUCUUCAUUAAGAUUCAUUGGGACUGUUCAAUUAUAUACACUUUCUUAUCUCUCCUAUUUUUCUUGAUCUGUUUGUUGACAAUGCUACAAAAGCUACCUAGAGAAAAACUACUAGCUGCUUACAGUAUUCAAUUUUGGAAUUUAAAGUUAUGUUACAUUAUUGGGUUUUGGAGAUGUUUGUUGUACUUGAGCAGUGUUGGCCUCUACUUCAUGAUACAAAGAAGUGCAUAACAUCUUUUCUUUCUUGGUUCUUCAAUAUUAAUCUUUUUUUUCCCCUUCCUUUCAGAUCUGGUAGGUCAUCAAUACGUGAUUCCUGGGCUAAUGCUGUAACCUGGCUUCAAGGAGAUCUUUCACCUAAUUCAUGGAAGGAAGCUCUUAAUGGGGUUUCUGCCAUUGUAUGUUACCUCUUACAAUUACAAUAGUUUAGCUUAUCCACCAGGAGAGUCAAUCCAAAAGUUUUAGCGUCCAUCUGCCUACGUAACAACCAAUUUUUUCUGUACAGGAUUUUAUUAUAAUAUAUUUGUUAUUUUUUAAUGACUCGACUCGACUCGACUCAACUCAACUCAACUCAACUAAGCUUUUAUCCAAAAAAUUUGGGGUCGGCUAUAUGGAUUUAUUUUCCCCACUCUAAACGAUUUUGGGUUAAAUCCUCAGAAAUGUAUAAUGCUUCUAGAUCAUGUUGUACUACUCUCCUCCAAAUCAAUUUAGGUCUACCCAUUUUUUCUCUAACCUAAUGUAUUGUACUUGUCUAACUGGAGCCUCCGUAUGCCUACGCUUCACAUGACCAAACCACCUUAAUCUCCAUUCUCUCAAUUUUUCCUCAAUUGGCACCACUCAUACCUUUUCUCUAAUACUCUCAUUGCGGACUUUAUCUAGUCUUAUUUUUUAAUGACUAUCUGGUCUAAUUGCUAAAUUAAAUUGCCUUUCUAGAUUUCCUGUGUUGGUGGUUUUGGCUCACACUCUUAUAUGUAUAAGAUUAAUGGAAGAGCAAACAUCAAUGCAAUAAGAUCUGCUUCAGAACAAGGUAUGGAUAUUAGGUAGCUGAAGUUUUUAUUGCCAUUCUACCCUUCUGUUGAGUCAAAGCAGCUAUAUGUGGUACAAAAUAAAAGCCCAAGAAGCAUAAGACUAACGACAUGACUUUAAUAGGAAAUCAUAUUUUAUUUGAAGUUGACCCACUCAUUGAUAUUGGAGAUUUGUAAAAUGGAUCCUUACUUGAUAAAAGCAAUUCCAUCUGAAGCUUGAUGUCAACUAUAAAGUUAUCCUAUAACGCAUUGCUCAUAGAAAACUCUUGGUUAAGGGCAUGCUUGGAGGCAUCAUGUAGGGCUACAGCUGUGUUGGUAUUUUCCUUUGGGGAAAUUGUGCAAUUCCAAGUGCUAUGUUUUUUACAUGAUUCUUUCUGCUUCUUACAUGCUUCUUUCCUUGUCCACCUUAGGGAUGCUGGAUGCAUACUAUUUUGCUACUGCAUCAUUUUAUGGUUUUUGCUACAUCUUCCUUGCGUCUGAUCCUUACCAAUUAAUUGUUAUGGACAAUCCAACGUAGACUAUUGGCAAUUCAAGAGAUGUUGGCAGUCCCUUUUUUCUCGUAGUAAUAGAUUUCUAGAUGCAUGCCUGUAUCAAUUUCUUUUAAUUCUCGCUUGCACUUACUGUAUUUGCUUGGAUGAUGGGCUUGACAUUUUUGUCUGUAGGUGUAAAAAGAUUUGUUUAUAUAUCUGCUGCUGACUUUGGUUUGGCCAACUACUUGCUGCAAGGAUAUUAUGAGGGAAAGUCUCAUGGGAAAUUGUUACUUUUCCUCUUUGAAGUAGAGAGCUGCUGAAACAGAGUUACUGACAAAGUUUCCUUACGGAGGAGUGAUUCUCAGGC